rfam:Oryzias latipes DNA, chromosome1, strain: Hd-rR.
ACAACGGCUCUUUUAAGAGCCACACACGUCUCUCAAAGCAUCAUC